UAGGCUUAGAGUAUGUAUUUAU
rnacentral:siRNA from 1 species